rnacentral:rRNA from 1 species
CAAACCAGUGAAGUUUUCUUCGCUGGGGUUGCGGACACAUCAUCAACAAAGAGGUAUCGUAAACGAAGAGAGUUGGAAAGCUCCGCUAUAAAGUGUAAUAGCCACGUAGUUGAAACGAGAAGACUUUAGAUGUGAUCCAGAGUACCACGGGACACGUGAAACCCUGUGGGAAGCAGGAGGGACCAUCCUCCAAGGCUAAAUACUACUUAGUGACCGAUAGCGCAUAGUACCGUGAGGGAAAGGUGAAAAGAACCCCGGGAGGGGAGUGAAAUAGAACCUGAAACCCUGCGCUAAAGGUGAAAAGAACCCCGGAAGGGGAGUGAAAUAGAACCUGAAACCCUGCGCUUACAAGCUGUGGAAGCACUUUAUAUGUGUGACCGCGUACUUUUUGUAGAACGGGCCAACGAGUUACGAUAGUAAGCUAGGUUAAGUACUUAAGGUAUGGAGCCGUAGUGAAAGCGAGUCUUAAAUGGGCGUUAAGUUUGCUGUCGUAGACCCGAAACCGAGCGACCUAUCCAUGAGCAGGAUGAAGCGAAAGUAAAAUUUCGUGGAGGUCCGAACCCACGAGCGUUGAAAAGCUCGGGGAUGACUUGUGGAUAGCGGUGAAAUUCCAAUCGAGCUCGGAGAUAGCUGGUUCUCCCCGAAAUAGCUUUAGGGCUAGCCUCAAGGUUGAGAAAUACGGAGGUAGAGCACUGAAUAUCCUAGGGGGCAUUGCGCUUACCGAAGAUUAUCAAACUCCGAAUGCCGUUAUUUUAUACUUGGGAGUCAGACUGUGGGUAAUAAGAUUCAUAGUCGAGAGGGCAACAGCCCAGAUCGUCAGCUAAGGUCCCUAAAUGUAAGUUAAGUGGUAAAGGAUGUGGGAUUGCAUAGACAACCAGGAUGUUGGCUUAGAAGCAGCCACUCAUUUAAAGAGUGCGUAAUAGCUCACUGGUCGAGUGAUCCUGCGCCGAAGAUUACCGGGGCUAAAACUUACUACCGAAGCUACGAUAUCAUUUAUGAUAGGUAGGGGAGCUUCCUAUGCAGGCUGAAGCAUGACCGUAAGGACGUGUGGACAGUAUAGGAGUGAGAAUGUUGGCAUGAGUAGCGAGACGUGGGUGAGAAUCCCACGGGCCGUAAACCCAAGGUUUCCAGGGGAAGGUUCGUCCGCCCUGGGUUAGUCGGGACCUAAGCCGAGGCCGAAAGGCGUAGGUGAUGGACAACAGGUUGAGAUUCCUGUACCACCGAUAAUCGUUUGAGAGAUGGAAUGACACAGUAGGAUAAGCUAACCACACUGUUGGUUAUGUGUGGCUAAGUACUGAGGCAGUCAAGGCAGGCAAAUCCGCCAUGAUAAUGCUGGGGUACGAUGGGGAGCGAAAUUAAGUAGCGAAGUAGCUGAUUUCACACUGUCGAGAAAAGUUUCUAUCGAGAUUAAAGGUGCCCGUACCGCAAACCGACACAGGUGGGUGAGGAGAGUAUCCUAAGGCCAGCGAGAGAACUGUUGUUAAGGAACUCGGCAAAAUGACCCCGUAACUUAGGGAGAAGGGGUGCCACGUUAGGGUUAACGCCCGAGGUGGCCGCAGAGAAUAGGCCCAAGCGACUGUUUACCAAAAACACAGGUUUCUGCUAAGUCGCAAGACGAUGUAUAGGAGCUGACGCCUGCCCGGUGCUGGAAGGUUAAGGGGAUCUGUUAGGAUUUAUCCGAAGCAGUGAACUUAAGCCCCAGUAAACGGCGGCCGUAACUAUAACGGUCCUAAGGUAGCGAAAUUCCUUGUCGGGUAAGUUCC